rnacentral:sRNA from 1 species
CGGGUUUACUCCUGGAUAUUACCGUUGGUCCGACCGAAGCCGGACGACGUUUGGUGUCUGAUUCGGUAUGAAUCGGGAGCACCAUCUGCGUAGGUUUGGAAAUCCUUUUUUAAGGCUUGCGCCACCUACGGUCUUGGAUAGCCCCCGCCAGGCAGGGACCCCAAUAGUUGCGAGCGACGGUGAACCGGCGCCCGA